GUCAGCCUACGGGAGGCAGCAGUAGGGAAUCUUCCACAAUGGACGAAAGUCUGAUGGAGCAACGCCGCGUGAGUGAAGAAGGGUUUCGGCUCGUAAAGCUCUGUUGGUAGUGAAGAAAGAUAGAGGCAGUAACUGGCCUUUAUUUGACGGUAAUUACUUAGAAAGUCACGGCUAACUACUUGCCAGCAGCCGCGGUAAUACAUAGGUUGCAAGCGUUGUCCGGAUUUAUUGGGCGUAAAGCG
rnacentral:rRNA from 1 species